CCUACGGGCUGCAGCAGUGGGGAAUAUUGGACAAUGGGCGAAAGCCUGAUCCAGCCAUGCCGCGUGUGUGAAGAAGGCCUUCGGGUUGUAAAGCACUUUCAGUGGGGAAGAAAGCCUUGGGGCUAAUACCCUCGAGGAAGGACAUCACCCACAGAAGAAGCACCGGCUAACUCCGUGCCAGCAGCCGCGGUAAUACGGAGGGUGCGAGCGUUAAUCGGAAUUACUGGGCGUAAAGCGCGCGUAGGCGGUCUGAUAAGCCGGUUGUGAAAGCCCCGGGCUCAACCUGGGAACGGCAUCCGGAACUGUCAGGCUAGAGUGCAGGAGAGGAAGGUAGAAUUCCCGGUGUAGCGGUGAAAUGCGUAGAGAUCGGGAGGAAUACCAGUGGCGAAGGCGGCCUUCUGGACUGACACUGAUGCUGAGGUGCGAAAGCGUGGGUAGCAAACAGGAUUAGAUACCCUGGUAGUC
rnacentral:rRNA from 1 species